rnacentral:rRNA from 1 species
UGGGGAAUAUUGCACAAUGGGCGCAAGCCUGAUGCAGCCAUGCCGCGUGUGUGAAGAAGGCCUUCGGGUUGUAAAGCACUUUCAGCGAGGAGGAAGGUGGUGAGCUUAAUACGCUCAUCAAUUGACGUUACUCGCAGAAGAAGCACCGGCUAACUCCGUGCCAGCAGCCGCGGUAAUACGGAGGGUGCAAGCGUUAAUCGGAAUUACUGGGCGUAAAGCGCACGCAGGCGGUUUGUUAAGUCAGAUGUGAAAUCCCCGGGCUCAACCUGGGAACUGCAUUUGAAACUGGCAAGCUAGAGUCUCGUAGAGGGGGGUAGAAUUCCAGGUGUAGCGGUGAAAUGCGUAGAGAUCUGGAGGAAUACCGGUGGCGAAGGCGGCCCCCCUGGACGAAGACUGACGCUCAGGUGCGAAAGCGUGGGGCAGCAAACAGGAUUAGAUACCCUGGUAGUCCACGCUGUAAACGAUGUCGAUUUGGAGGUUGUGCCCUUGAGGCGUGGCUUCCGGAGCUAACGCGUUAAAUCGACCGCCUGGGGAGUACGGCCGCAAGGUUAAAACUCAAAGGAAUUGACGGGUCUAGCUG